rnacentral:rRNA from 1 species
UUUAAUUCGAAGCAACGCGAAGAACCUUACCGCCCUUGACAUCCGAAUGACCGGUGAGUAAUGUCACCUUUCCUUCGGGACAUUCGAGACAGGUGGUGCAUGGUUGUCGUCAGCUCGUGUCGUGAGAUGUUGGGUUAAGUUCCGCAACGAGCGCAACCCUUAUCUUUAGUAGCCAGCAUUUAGGAUGGGCACUCUAGAGAGACUGCCAGGAUAACCUGGAGGAAGGUGGGGAUGACGUCAAAUCAUCAUGCCCCUUAUGGGCAGGGCUACACACGUGCUACAAUGGCGUAAACAAAGGGAAGCGAAGCCGCGAGGCCUAGCAAAUCUCAAAAAUAACGUCUCAGUUCGGAUUGUAGUCUGCAACUCGACUACAUGAAGCUGGAAUCGCUAGUAAUCGCGAAUCAGAAUGUCG